rnacentral:rRNA from 1 species
UGUAAGCGUAUACCAAAGUUGUUGCAGUUAAAACGCUCGUAGUCGGAAUUUGGCAGUUCCGGAAGUGUGCACGUCGUGUGCGCACUUUGCGGGGACUGCUUUUGUGGUCUUGCGUAGGAUGAGGCACUUUCGUUAGUGAACGUCCUCACGCAACCACUCUUUACUGUGAGAAAAUCAGAGUGCUCAAAGCAGGCAUUUGCCGUGAAUGUAUUAGCAUGGAAUAAUAGAAUAGGACUCGGUUCUAUUUUGUUGGUUUGUUGGGACUGAGUAAUGAUUAAGAGGGACAGUUGGGGGCAUUUGUAUUCCGGCGCUAGAGGUGAAAUUCUUAGAUUGCCGGAAGACAAACUGCUGCGAAAGCGUCUGCCAAGGAUGUUUUCAUUGA